AGGAUGCAAAGUAUUGAUCCUGGGUGUGUC
rnacentral:piRNA from 1 species